GAUGAACGCUGGCGGCGUGCUUAAUACAUGCAAGUCGAGCGAACGGACGAGAAUUUUGCUGCUCUGAUGUUAUCGGCGGACGGGUAAGUAACACGUGGAUCAUCUACCUAUAAGACUCGGAUAACUUCUGGAAACCGGAGCUAAUAUCGGAUAAUAUUUUGAACCGCAUGGUUCAACAGUGAAUGACGAUCUUUCUUUUACUUAUAGAUGGUUCCGCGCUGCAUUAGCUAGUUGGUAAGGUAACGGCUUACCAAGGCCACGAUGCAUAGCCGACGUCGGAGGGUGAGCGGGCACGCUGGAACUGGGACACGGUCAAGGCUCAGACGGGAGGCAGAAGUAGGAGAGGUGAAGCAAGGGGCGAGAGCGUGACGGAGCAACGGCGAGGGAGUGAUGAAGGUCUCCGGAUCGUAAAACUAAGUUACUAGGGAACAACAGAUGUGUAAGUAACUGUGCACAUCGUGACGGUAGCUAAUCAGAAAGCCACGGCUAACUACGUG
rnacentral:rRNA from 1 species